UCGACUCUCUGACUCUGUCCCAGAUUAUAGUGACACCAAGUGAAACACUGAUAACUUUAGUAAAGUCAGGAAGAGAAAUCUGUCACGUUCAUGUCUCAACAUGAAGAUGGAAAAGGCAAACCUUUGUUCUACACCCAAUGUGAUUUAUUGGUUUUGAUCGUUUUGUUCCUCCCCACGAGUCAGAUUUCACUACACUCCUCAGUUGUAGCUCCGCCUCUGCAGGAAAAGAACGUCUCUUUAACUGUAACUUUCACUUUCAAGCACAUUUUGGCGGUAGAUAUGUUUACAGUCAGCAGCAGAAAUGGCGUUGAGUGCAGUUCUACAUUUACUUUGUGUGUUUGGACUCUUUCAGAAAGGUCUGACAGGUCUGAUAGGAACACAGAGGACUGUGAUGGCAGCUGUCGGAGGAGAAGCUGGUUUCAGCUGUCAGCUGCUGCAGAAUAAAGAUGUUGUUCAGGUCACCUGGCUCAAAGUUUUAUCUGAGGGAGAGAGGAAUCUUAUUUCUUACCACAAAAAAUAUGGUCAAGAUGUUAAUCCUGCCUUUAAAGAUAAAAUAGGGUUUACAGAUGCUGGACUGCAGAACAGCUCCAUCUUCAUCAGAAACGUGACAGAGGAAGAUGAAGGCUGCUAUCUCUGUUUGUUCAACGCCGACCCUGAAGGUUCUCUCACUGGUACAACCUGCCUCCAAGUCUACGAGCUGCAUGGACCCGUUCUCCAUGUGGGAGCAUCAGGCUCUGAGGAGACAGUGGUGUCCUGCUCGGCCACAGGUCGACCUGCUCCCACAGUCACAUUAACUGUCCGGAGAGGCGACGGCCACUUUCCUGGAAACAGCUCCGUCAGUGUGAACAACACCAACGGUACAGUCACCGUCACCUCUACAGCUGUGCUGACUCGUCUCCAUGACAUGGACACAGAGGUUAGAUGUGCAGUGCGAGUGCUCUCUGCUGCUCAGAAAGAGGAGGUCAGGAUCAUUCCUGCUGAAGUCAAACAGUCUGCUGAAGGUUUCUAUGAGGAUUCUGGGAUUGAGAUCACACAUAUCACCAUCAUCACUACACUGUCUGUGGUGCUGGUCUUCUGUUGUGUUGCAGCAGUCAUCACAGUCCUGCUGAUACGAAGACAGAGGAACAGUCGGAGACAAAGAGACUCUGAGGAGUUCAAGAUGUCACCAAAAAGAACUGAACACACUCCAGAGACCAACACACCUGAUAACGAGAACCUGAGGAAACGGACGCCACCUGAGAAAAGGGAAGGAAGUGAAAGCAUAGAACCAUCGCCUGAAACUCGCCGAAAACUAUUUUGACAUAAAAUAACCCACAAGACUGGUGGCAGAAGGAAAACUGCUCUGAAAUACGGUGACAACUGUGUAAAAUCAGUUACAACAUUUGCCGCGCUGCAUUUAUGGACAUGAAUGUGGACGUGACUGAUAUGAUGUGUUGACCACAGGUGGUCGUCUUCAGGUCUGAGUAAAGAAGCGAACACGCCUGUAUUUGAUAUAUAAUGAUGGAACAUCACAGGCACAGAAUUAAUGAGUUAGUGAUUUAAACACUUGUGUAGUCAGACGUGGAUACAGAGGCUCACACCUGACUGUGAUGACAACUGGGACGUCUGUACAGGAAUGAUUCAACUUUAGGGACAAUGCAACAGUGUUUCUUUAUAUUGUAAAUCACACAUUGCAUCCUGAAUGACUGAAAUAAUUGUUUUUUAAGCCAAGAAGAACGACUAACAGUCUCCACUCAGCAGCCACACUAAGACUGUUACAAAGUCAGUUUACUGUCACCUUAAUAAUGUAUCCAGGAUAAAAGGACUUAUAUCUCACCUGGCACAAAGUUUUACCUGAGGGAGAGAGGAAUCUUAUUUCUUACCACAAAAAAUAUGGUCUGAAAAUGAAUCCUGCCUUCAGAGAUAAAAUGAAUUGUACAGAUGUUGGACUGCAGAACAGCUCCAUCUUCAUCAGAAACGUGAUAUUUUUUCUUUCUCACUUGUAAAUUAUUUUUCUUGCUUCAGACGGAUGAAAUUGACUCAUAUGUUGUUUUUAACUGAAGGACUAAAACACCUUUGAUGCAUCAAGCUGACCAGCAGUCAAGGCGAUGGAUGACACCUGAGAAAAGUAAAGGAAGUGACAGCACAGAAUCAUCGACCGGCGCUCGGCGACAACUAUUUGGUGACACAAAGUGACUCACAAGACUGGUGACAGAAGUAAAACUGGCCUGAAACAGACCUGUGGAAGAUCAGUUACAACAUUUUAUUAAUGAAGCUAGUUGUGAUGCACUGAAUUCUUCAUGGAGCAUUAUGUAUUUAUAGUCAGCACGUUCAUUUAACAUUUGAUCAGACAGAUUUAGAAGCUGACUGAUUCUGUAUUUUAUUUCAGGUAUGAAAACUUUUUUUUUUUUUUUGCCUGUUUUAUCGCUCACUUUUCUCACUGCUACUGUUAAUUUACUGCAGUCAUGUAGAAACUGAAUAAUGUCUUGUUGUUAUUUGAAGGAUGAAAAUAUCAUUAAUGCAGUAAGAGAACGAGCUGAUGAGACCACAGACAUCUACUGGGAAAAAUAAAUAAGGGUUUUCAACAAGAGGCAUUAACUGAAAACUUGACGACCACAGUCAAAGAUUUAGUGACAGAAUCCUCCAGUCCAAGACUGUGGUGGUCAAACAGGCAGCUGAACCUGAACCUGGAGCUGAAUUAAUCACAGGUGGACUCUUACACAGUUCACUUCACUGUUAUUCUGAGUGACAGUGAAAGCAACACAGUGCAAUAGUUAAUGUUUGCUUUUCAUAUCAUGAGUCCAAGUUCCUCUGACUAAGUUAUGUUACACAAUUUAUUGUUUUGCUUGAAUAAUGGAUGUAUAAAUGUGUCACAUGAAGCAUUUUUUAUCUUAUUCCAAAAUGAUGACCUGGAUCAUCAUCUACUGUAGAGCUUUAAGUAUAUAUAAAGUUUAAAUGAGAUGUAUUAUAUGGAGACAAAUGUUUUGUGUGUGUUGCUUAUUAAUUUUUUGCACUUUAACAUUUGAUGUGUGUCUCUGUUCUUCUACUGACACAUGAUACUAACAUUUACUGUCCUGUUUUGCUUCCAUGUGCUGUUCUCUGUCAACACGUAAUAAUUAACCUGUGCAGUGGGAAUUCAGCAAUUUUUUUGUGAUAACAUCGUCUUCCAAUUGAAAUGUUUUAAAUGCUUUAUCUUCUGAAUUGUUUCUGUACAUUUGUACGUUUGGCACACCUUAUUAAAAUGUGAUUUAAAGACA